CGAUCCAAAGUACAACGAUCAGCAGCUGCGUGCCACGGUGAGCCUGCCUAAGGGAACUGGCCAGACUGUUAUAGUGGCUGUUCUUGCACA